rnacentral:rRNA from 1 species
UACGUAGGGGGCAAGCGUUGUCCGGAAUCAUUGGGCGUAAAGAGCGUGUAGGCGGUUCGGUAAGUCUGCUGUGAAAGUCCAGGGCUCAACCCUGGGAUGCCGGUGGAUACUGUCGGGCUAGAGUGCGGAAGAGGCGAGUGGAAUUCCCGGUGUAGCGGUGAAAUGCGCAGAUAUCGGGAGGAACACCAGUAGCGAAGGCAGCUCGCUGGGACGUUACUGACGCUGAGACGCGAAAGCGUGGGGAGCAAACAGG